UGGUAGGAUAGAGGCCUACCAUGGUGGUAACGGGUAACGGGGUGUUAGGGCACGACACCGGAGAGGGAGCCUGAGAAACGGCUACCACAUCCAAGGAAGGCAGCAGGCACGCAAAUUACCCAAUCCCAGUUCGGGGAUGUAGUGACGAAAAAUAACAAAAUAGGACUCUAAUGAGGCCCUAUUAUUGGAAUGAGAACAAUCUAAAUCCUUUAUCGAGGAUCUAUUGGAGGGCAAGUCUGGUGCCAGCAGCCGCGGUAAUUCCAGCUCCAAUAGCGUAUAUUAAAGUUGUUGCAGUUAAAAAGCUCGUAGUUGAAUUUCGGGAUCAAGGAAUCGGUCAUGCCUCGGUAUGUACUGGUUUUAUUGGUUCUCACCUUCUAAAGAACCAUAAUGUCAUUCAUUUGAUGUUAUGGGGAAUUAGGACUGUUACCUUGAAAAAAUUAGAGUGUUUAAAGCAGGCUUACGCUUGAAUACAUUAGCAUGGAAUAAUGAAAUAGGACAUCAGAUUCUAUUUUGUUGGUUUCUAGGAUCGAUGUAAUGAUUAAUAGGGAUAGUUGGGGGCAUUAGUAUUCAAUUGUCAGAGGUGAAAUUCUUGGAUUUAUUGAAGACUAACUACUGCGAAAGCAUUUGCCAAGAAUGUUUUCAUUAAUCAAGAACGAAAGUUAGAGGUUCGAAGGCGAUCAGAUACCGCCCUAGUUCUAACCAUAAACGAUGCCAACCAGCGAUUAGCCUGAGUUCCUUAAAUGACUCGGCUAGCAGCUUCCGGGAAACCAAAGUGUUUGGGUUC
rnacentral:rRNA from 1 species